CCCCCAGAAUCCCCGCGGAUUCGGUACACUAAUCUUUCUAUAACUUUUUGCGGAAGAUAUAAAUAUAAGUUGUUUAUACAUUAAACUUUACACAUAUUUCCCCAAAAUCGAGUAACCUUAACUUUUACACAAUUCAUAGGCUAUCUAACAGAUAACAUAUUAUUCAACUAUACUAUUACAAACUAGCCGCACAUUUUAUCCCAAGCUGAACUUGGCAUUAACCUUUUCCUGUAACCGAACGCAUUCGCCUUAUCUGCAAUGUUUAUCAUGAUAUAGCAAGGGUGAGCAUGAAAGUUGCCCAGCAAGUUUAAAUACAAUUCAAGGAUAUAUCAUGAUUAAAGAGUAUGAAUAAUAAGCUGGCUAUAAUUCAUCAAUAUAAUUGAGAACUAGCACGAACAAACUUUUGACUGAACAAGUUUUAAACAUGAACAAACAUUUCUGGACCAACCGGUAAUGAAGGUGAUCUGCCUUUCAUACCUGACUUAUACAUGCAAGAUGUACAGAGUACAAUUUUCAUGACAAUCAGCAAUGAUUAACCAUAAGCUUGAAUAAAACACUCUUAUUAGAGUUAAGUAAGAACAAACUUGCCUGAUUCGUUGACUACUGCUUACGCAAUUUAUGUUAACUUCUUUUGUAAGACCUAUCAUUAAUAAGAUCGAUCCUCCAAUCAGCAUAUCAUACAUUGUAUCAUAAUACAAUUACUUAAUCCAUAAAUUAUCUAACACUUAAACAAAUAUUAGAUAACAUCUUAACGCAUCAGUAUUAUUAUCAUCAUUUGAUCUUCGAUCACUAUAUCAUAUUAUAAUUUAUCACUCACUUUUUCAUUUCAUAAGCUAUUCUUUAACAUCGAAUAAGUUAAAUACUAAUCCAGCAACCUGGAUUCUAAAUCUAGCAACCAAAUUUCCUAUCCAGUCGACUGGAUUCCAAAUCCAGCGACCUGGAUCCAACAUAUAACCAAUCCAACAACUUAAACUGCAAUCCAGCUAACUAGCUUACAAUCCAGCAAACUGUAUUCACCAAAUUUUUCCAAUCCAGCAAGCUAGAUUUCAUUGAAAAUACCAAACCAGUUUAUUAUUUUUCUAUCCUUUGUCCAAACACAUAUACAUAUAUUUUAUACACAAAAAUUAUUUUUCCAUAAUUUUCUAAUUUUGUUUGGUAUUUUUCAAAAAUUAAUUUUAGUGCGUAGCUUAAGAAAUUAGCUACCUCGUGCUUAACUCCAAACAUUCCCAUCUCUUGGCAUAACCUUAUAUAUGUUAACGUGACACUCCAGUUUAAAUUUCGUGGCAAUCGGAGUUGUAGAACUCCGUUUAUAGCGAUUUCCGUCGGAAAAUCACAAAAAUUGUAAUGGUCAUAACUUGGUCGUUUUAAGCCGGAAUUAGCUCAUUUUUGGACACAAGGUGCUUAAUACCAUAUAUUUUCAUGUCCCUAAAGACAGGAAUUUAUUUCACACUUUAAGUUGCCAAAACAGCCCUCGAAAAAAUCUGGGCAGCAACUUUUUGUCUUUUAGCAGUUUUGGAAUCCUUUACUAAAUCUUAAAUAAAAUGAGAUCUAUAACUCUGAUUAACGAUCCGUCAAUUUUUUUGGAUUCGUAUCUUUCCGAUCUACAAUUUUCAUCCAUCACAAUCCAUAUUUGGACAUGUUAAGCUCCCGGAAAUUAUCCCGGAAGUGGCUGCUCAAAACUGUCAUUCUAACAAUUUUCCUAUCUUUGAGUAGUUUGGGAUAAAUUACAUAACUUGCUCAUUAUUCAACCUAAUUGAGUGAUUCAAAAGGGGUUUUAUCCUUCACACAUAGAUCUAGCAUCCCAAGAACAUAGAUCACAAAUAUCCAUCAUAUAUUUCAAAAAACUCAAAACCUAGCUCACACUUUAAAAGUUCAAACUUUUCCGGAAAAAUUCCAUUUUUGUCUUCCUUUGAUUCCAACCAAAUUAACACCCAAUAUGGGUAGAUCCAAACAAUAAACACUCAUUAACAUGUAUAUACAUAGUUUUUGAGUUUAGAAACAAAUUUUCUUAUUUCAUCAAACAAGCAUCAACCACAAGAUUAAAUAAUAUCAAGACUAAGAAAAUUAGGAUUUUCUACACUUUGAAAACCUAGCUUCACUUUUAUUGCUUUUGAUCUAACUUCUAACACACAAGAUGGAUAGAUCCACACAUAAAACACUGUAAAUCAUGUAGAUCUAAGAUUUUUGAGUUUUGAAACCUUAGAACUUUAUUCCAUCAACAUAACUUAAAUCAAAGGAUAACUUAGGUUUGAUUUUAUACCUUUGAUUUCAUGCUAGUCUUUCUUCUUCUUCAUAGCUUGAUUAUGUAGCUUUGAUGUCUCACUAAAAACUCCCCUUUCUCUCCUCUAGUGGCUGCCGAACUCUAGGCUCUCUCUCUCUCUCCCUCUCUCUCUCUCUUUUGUUCUUGAAGAAUACCAAAAAGAAAGAUGAAAGAGAAAAAGUAAGAUAGAGUUUCAUUAGAUAUGGAUACAUCAAUUCUCCCUUUUCUCUCCU
rnacentral:lncRNA from 1 species